CCUACGGGAGGCAGCAGUGGGGAAUAUUGCACAAUGGGGGAAACCCUGAUGCAGCGACGCCGCGUGAGUGAAGAAGUAAUUCGUUAUGUAAAGCUCUAUCAGCCGGGGAGAAAAUGACGGUACCUGAGUAAUAAGCCCCGGCUAACUACGUGCCAGCAGCCGCGGUAAUACGUAGGGCGCAAGCGUUAACCGGAUUUACUGGGUGUAAAGGGAGCGUAGACGGGAAUGCAAGUCUGGAGUGCAAGGCGGGGGCUCAACCCCCGGACUGCUCUUGAACAUGUACGGCUGGAGUGCAGGAGAGGUAAGUGGAAUGCGUGGGGUAGCGGUGAAAUGCGUAGAUAUUAGGAGGAACACCAGUGGCGAAGGCGGCUUACUGGACUGUAACUGACGUUGAGGCUCGAAAGCGUGGGGAGCAAACAGGAUUAGAUACCCGAGUAGUC
rnacentral:rRNA from 1 species